UCUAGGGUAGUUCAGUGGUAGAACGCGUGACUGUUAAUCACGAUGUCGGGGGUUCGAGUCCCUCCCCUAGAGCCA
rnacentral:tRNA from 1 species